UGUGUAGUGUAGUUGGGAGACUGGGAAGCAUGAUCGUCAGAUUGUGUGGAGUCGCAAGAUGAAACACCAGCCUGAUUAUGUUUUGGCCCUAACCGCGUGUAUUGAAUCAUGCACCGGAACAGUGUCAGGUGGGCAGUUUGACUGGGGCGGUCGCCUCCGAAAGAGUAACGGAGGCGCCCAAAGGUACCCUCAGGCUGAAUGGAAACCAGCCGCAGAGUGUAAAGGCACAAGGGAGCUUGACUGCAAGAGAUACACCUCGAGCAGAGACGAAAGUCGGGCUUAGUGAUCCCACGGUUCCGAGUGGAAGGGCCGUGGCUUACCGGAUAAAAGCUACCCCGGGGAUAACAGGCUAGUCAGGUCCAAGAGUCCAUAUCGACGACCUGGCUCGGCACCUCGAUGUCGGCUCGUCGCAUCCUGGGGCUGUACAAGGUCCCAAGGGUUGGACUGUUCGUCCAUUAAAGCGGCACGUGAGCUGGGUUCAGACCGUCGUGAGACAGGUCGGUCUCUAUCCGCUGUGGGCGCAAGAGAUUUGAGGGGAGCUGCCCCUAGUACGAGAGGACCGGGGUGGACAGACCGCUAGUGUGCCAGUUGUUCCGCCAGGAGCAUCGCUGGGUAGCUACGUCUGGCAGAGAUAACCGCUGAAAGCAUCUAAGUGGGAAACUCGCCUCAAGAUAAGAUCUCUCACCUGUAAUGGGUCAAGACCGCUGGAAGACUACCAGUUUGAUAGGCGGCACGUGUAAGUGCAGCAAUGCAUUCAGCGAAGCCGUACUAAUGGUCGAGGGCUUAACGAUA
rnacentral:rRNA from 1 species